GGGACUUUGCAUGAUAGGAGUCUGAACAGUCUUAAAUUUAAAGAAGAUGGAAGAGGAGGAGAAGAAAAGGGGCUGUAUUUUCUCAAAUCUUCAUCAGAUCACACUCCAGCUAUGACAAUGAUUGUCCAAGCUCCAUUCCCUGUCUCUCCUCCCAGACUAGGACAUCUUCUUCUUCGGGGUUCCCACAUCAUUCUAGGUUCCAGUGGCACUUGUCUUACUUGAUGCAAGGAUGUGGGAUUUGGGAACAUGGUUUCAUCUCUCCAACCACAAUACCAGCAACUUUCAGGCAACUGUCUGAUGCCACACAGCAAAUCUGCCCCAGGGCAGAGGGGGCACUAGGUAGGCAGUAACUGGGAGCACGGGCAGAGAGGCUGGCAUGAAGAAACCUGCCAAUGGGAAGCAGGGCCAAUGCCACCUAGGCUGGGUUCAAGGAUGUGGCCAAAAAAGCAGAACUUCCAACAAACUUGGAAAACUAGUCAGGUU
rnacentral:lncRNA from 1 species